rnacentral:rRNA from 1 species
UACGGGAGGCAGCAGGGGGGAAUAUUGCACAAUGGGCGCAAGCCUGAUGCAGCCAUGCCGCGUGUAUGAAGAAGGCCUUCGGGUUGUAAAGUACUUUCAGUCGUGAGGAAGGUGUUAAGGUUAAUAACCUUAGCAAUUGACGUUAGCGACAGAAGAAGCACCGGCUAACUCCGUGCCAGCAGCCGCGGUAAUACGGAGGGUGCGAGCGUUAAUCGGAAUUACUGGGCGUAAAGGGCACGCAGGCGGUUAAUUAAGUUGGAUGUGAAAUCCCCGGGCUUAACCUGGGAAUGGCAUUCAAGACUGGUUAGCUAGAGUCUUGUAGAGGGGGUAGAAUUCCAUGUGUAGCGGUGAAAUGCGUAGAGAUGUGGAGGAAUACCGGUGGCGAAGGCGGCCCCGUGGACAAAGACUGACGCUCAUGUGCGAAAGCGUGGGGAGCAAACGAGGGAUUAGAUACC